GACGAACGCUGGCGGCGUGCUUAACACAUGCAAGUCGAACGGAAAGGCCCUGCUUUUGUGGGGUGCUCGAGUGGCGAACGGGUGAGUAACACGUGAGUAACCUGCCCUUGACUUUGGGAUAACUUCAGGAAACUGGGGCUAAUACCGGAUAGGGGCUCCUGCUGCAUGGUGGGGGUUGGAAAGUUUCGGCGGUUGGGGAUGGACUCGCGGCUUAUCAGCUUGUUGGUGGGGUAGUGGCUUACCAAGGCUUUGACGGGUAGCCGGCCUGAGAGGGUGACCGGCCACAUUGGGACUGAGAUACGGCCCAGACUCCUACGGGAGGCAGCAGUGGGGAAUAUUGCACAAUGGGCGGAAGCCGGAUGCAGCAACGCCGCGUGCGGGAUGACGGCCUUCGGGUGGUAAACCGCUUUCGCCUGUGACGAAGCGUGAGUGACGGUAAUGGGUAAAGAAGCACCGGCUAACUACGU
rnacentral:rRNA from 1 species